UCUAUAAAGGAAGAGCAGUUUAUAACCUUCGUGGAAUCAUUUUAAUAUCGUAUUUGUGGCGUGAUUUGAAUUGUAUUUAAUACUUUUACAAGCGAAACCGACUAGAAUCUUGGGCAUUUAAGGAACUAUUUUUAAGAAAACAAUCAUAACGACAGUUUAGAAAUAUUGAGAUUAACAUUCAUGUCGUCAUAUGUAUUAUAUCAUGGAUAACAACACCAAAUAUGGAAACUUGAACGUGAGGAAAGUGUCUCUCAUACAUUCGUUAUAAACAAACAGGCCCAAUUAUAUUGAAUCUAGAUGGCGUAUUCAAAUAACACUUUAGCCUCAUUACAUGUAAUUGUAUCGAAGCUGGAUAUAAAAGCACACAAUCAAAAGCCGUUGGACAGAGCCAUGUUUUCAUAUGUGAGAAAGCAGAAAGCAAGCGUGAGACUUAUUGGCAUACAAGUCAAUGAUGUUUAUUCAUUGAAAAGAAGGACUUUGUCUCAAAGCGUGGCAAUAAAGAGGAACACUACGUCUUAUUGUGCAAAUAAUGUUACUGAUGUGUUCGAUAAACAUAUCAGUUUGUGUUCUCCAUCUUUAAAUUCGUAUUAUACGCAAUGGCCUGAACGACACGCGAUAUCAUCUAAAACAGACGGUAAGAAAACAUGGAGACCUGAUGAAUCCAGAUACCUUACGGAUGAUACUGCCUACAAAACCCGUUAUCAACACCUUGAUCGCGAGACCAGGAUACCAGGCCACGUGUCUGCCAGCGACAGGCGCAGUCAACGACUUGGCAAAGUUGCUAACAGGUCACAUUUGAAGCAACUUAUUCAAGAGGAGGAGCGUAUGCGCUUGCAAUAUUUGUCAGACAAUGAUUUCCUCUUUUGGUAAAAUGAUUUGUGUCAGAAUUCGAAUGAAUUAUUUUUAUUUUUAUUACUGUUAUCACUACAACUAGAAAAAUAAUGUUUGCCCCCUCCAAAUCAUGUAUUGUGUUACAUUUAUUAAUACCAUUUUACUGCUCUUGCGAAAACACUUAAUGAUUUUUGUAUUACUUUACUUUUCGUGUCAGCCGCCUUUUGAUUACAUCAAAUUGCAUCCGUUCAACAACGUAAAUAGUUAAUAUUGUAAUCUUUUCAUUUCAAUCUAAAACCCGUUUAAUACAAACGUUAAGAAAUAUUGUGUAUUUGCUUAUACUCAGUAAGACUAGUGCUUUACGUCUCAGGUGCUUGUUUGUUCUGCUGUAGUUUGGUCAAUAAAGAUCCUGUAAAAUGAGCAUUGACAUAUGUAUCUUUGUUUGCAUAAUCGCUAGUGAAGUGUAUUAGUGUCUGUUAAAAAGACAUUCACAGUUUGUUACUCUUCGAAAAGAAAAUCGUGUACAGAUGCGUUUUUGAAGCAUGUCAUUGAAUGUCUGAAGCUUCAAACAAAUACACAAAGGUUUCUUCAAAUAAAGGUUGAAAACAUUAAUAAAGAUUCUUAUCAUUUUAAACCGAGAUUCGAACGCGCAAUAAAACUUUAUUAAAAAUUUAGUUGUGAACAUAUUAAUCGAUUGUUUCAUGCAUGUUAUAAUAUAUGAAUAUUUAAAUAUUGAUGUUUGUUACUUAAAAAAAUGGUAUGAAUAACAAAGUUCUUUUUAAAAUAAAAGACUAGCUCUUCAAUUUAAUUAAGCUUACUUAUGUUUUUUCCUAUUGGUAUUUUUAUAUAUAAUUUUAUUGGAAAUUGUGUAUUCUUGAAUCCGAAAGUUAAGCUUAAUUUAAUUAACGUUCAUUUUAUAGACGUACAUUUUCCCGCAUUUUAAUGUACGUUAAGUCAAUGACGUAACAUCCGCUUUCUGUUUUUAUUUGUAUUAUCCUGAUGAAGGCGUAAGCCGAAACGUUGAUAAAAAAGGAAAGAAAAAUAUGUGUUUUUGCUGGAUUUAUCAUACUAUGUUUGUUACUUAAAAGUUGCAUUAAUGUAGAUUGCUAUUAAAGUGGACUAGUUUACGUCA